GCUCGAACGUGUUGCAUCAGCGACAAGCCGACACACAGGUGUAUACGGACGUGCAUGGGUACGGAGCCACGGAUGCUUUAUUUGCCUGCCGAGUGCGUGGAAGGAAUCUCAUUGUGUGUAUGCUCUCUAUUUCUGAUUCUGUUUUUUCCCAAUGGAUUUUUUUCUCUCCAUCCGGACCAAUUCAGAGCGAUUGCUCGGUCAAGCAGAGAUGAUUCAGCAAGUGCGAAGAGAUGCACAUUCAGAUUCUUUUCGGGUCUUUUUGCGGUCUGGGCUUGCUGUCGAAUGGAAAGUUACCAGGAAGCCCUUACCCCAAAAAGCAUCUGCAGAGGAUAUUUACAUCCUGCAAGAUCCUACACACACAAUUUGUCUGCUAUCUUAUUUUUUAAGUGUAUUUCUAUGUCAGUAUUAGCUUCCACGAGUGGUGUGCAAAAGACUCACUGCCGAAGUACAGGUUAGUUAUAUUUAACUUUUACAUUUGAAUUCAUCUUUAAUGUUUUUUUUUAUUUUUAAUUUAGGAAUGAUUUGUACUUCGUUUUUAUGUGCAAUACAUUUUAACAAAAUUAUUAUUAUUCAAGUACAAAAUGUUACAAUGGCUGUCAAUAUGAAAUAUCAUGUGAAAAUUGGUCCCUCCACAAGAGGGCGGAAUAGCACAAGUGUCUCCUGAGCUGGGAUCACGUUUUGUCACUGAUCCAAAUAUUCUUGAUAGCAACCUUGUGUGUUGCAUCAUAACUUUUUAAUCUUAUCUUUGUUAUUAAAUCUAAUCGAUGCAAGUGAUGUAAGUGCACAUUCCAACAUGUGUAUAUGAAUUAAAACCUUAAUGCAACCAAAGCAGAAAGUUGCAGUUAAAUUUGCCAUAUAUGAACGGAUGUUGUUUGGUGUUGUAGAAGAAAAGCAGCUGUAGUACUGCGCACUUCUCAGCGUAUUACAAUAACUAUACAUGUUACUAUAAAUGUUUUUUUUCCCCUUAUAAAUAUUGGCUUGCACAUCAAAAUGUGGUUAUUUUAUGGUUAUUUUAUAAAUAAAGAUGUAAUGUAUUGUA